rnacentral:rRNA from 1 species
GACGAACGCUGGCGGCGUGCUUAACACAUGCAAGUCGAACGGAAAGGCCCUGCUUUUGUGGGGUGCUCGAGUGGCGAACGGGUGAGUAACACGUGAGUAACCUGCCCUUGACUUUGGGAUAACUUCAGGAAACUGGGGCUAAUACCGGAUAGGAGCUCCUGCUGCAUGGUGGGGGUUGGAAAGUUUCGGCGGUUGGGGAUGGACUCGCGGCUUAUCAGCUUGUUGGUGGGGUAGUGGCUUACCAAGGCUUUGACGGGUAGCCGGCCUGAGAGGGUGACCGGCCACAUUGGGACUGAGAUACGGCCCAGACUCCUACGGGAGGCAGCAGUGGGGAAUAUUGCACAAUGGGCGGAAGCCUGAUGCAGCAACGCCGCGUGCGGGAUGACGGCCUUCGGGUUGUAAACCGCUUUCGCCUGUGACGAAGCGUGAGUGACGGUAAUGGGUAAAGAAGCACCGGCUAACUACGUGCCAGCAGCCGCGGUGAUACGUAGGGUGCGAGCGUUGUCCGGAUUUAUUGGGCGUAAGGGCUCGUAGGUGGUUGAUCGCGUCGGAAGUGUAAUCUUGGGGCUUAACCCUGAGCGUGCUUUCGAUACGGGUUGACUUGAGGAAGGUAGGGGAGAAUGGAAUUCCUGGUGGAGCGGUGGAAUGCGCAGAUAUCAGGAGGAACACCAGUGGCGAAGGCGGUUCUCUGGGCCUUUCCUGACGCUGAGGAGCGAAAGCGUGGGGAGCGAACAGGCUUAGAUACCCUGGUAGUCCACGCUGUAAACGGUGGGUACUAGGUGUGGGGUCCAUUCCACGGGUUCCGUGCCGUAGCUAACGCUUUAAGUACCCCGUCUGGGGAGUACGGCCGCAAGGCUAAAACUCAAAGGAAUUGACGGGGCCCCGCACAAGCGGCGGAGCAUGCGGAUUAAUUCGAUGCAACGCGUAGAACCUUACCUGGGUUUGACAUGGAUCGGGAGCGCUCAGAGAUGGGUGUGCCUCUUUUGGGGUCGGUUCACAGGUGGUGCAUGGCUGUCGUCAGCUCGUGUCGUGAGAUGUUGGGUUAAGUCCCGCAACGAGCGCAACCCUUGUUCACUGUUGCCAGCACGUUAUGGUGGGGACUCAGUGGAGACCGCCGGGGUCAACUCGGAGGAAGGUGGGGAUGACGUCAAGUCAUCAUGCCCCUUAUGUCCAGGGCUUCACGCAUGCUACAAUGGCUGGUACAGAGAGUGGCGAGCCUGUGAGGGUGAGCGAAUCUCGGAAAGCCGGUCUCAGUUCGGAUUGGGGUCUGCAACUCGACCUCAUGAAGUCGGAGUCGCUAGUAAUCGCAGAUCAGCAACGCUGCGGUGAAUACGUUCCCGGGGCU